rnacentral:rRNA from 1 species
CACGUAGGUGGCAAGCGUUGUCCGGAUUUACUGGGCGUAAAGGGCGUGCAGGCGGUUUGUUAAGUGCAGGGUGAAAGCUCCCGGCUCAACUGGGGAGGGUCAUUCGAUACUGAUCGACUCGAAGGCAGGAGAGGGUAGUGGAAUUCCCGGUGUAGUGGUGAAAUGCGUAGAUAUCGGGAGGAACACCAGUGGCGAAGGCGGCCCUCUGGACGGAUACUGACGCUGAGGCGCGAAAGCGUGGGGAUCAAACAGG